GCUUGACUGUAGUUUGGAAUAGGGUUCGGGCUUUUCUUGCGCAGCCUAGGUGGGAGGCAUUGAGGAUUUCUUUUCGGGGAAAUCGGAGCCAUCAUUGAGAGACCACUCUGGAAGAGCUAGAAUCCUAAUGGCGUUCCUUGAAUCAGGACGCUUGACAGUUUCAGAUGGGCAGUUUUCUUGGGGCGAGAUUCUUAGUUAUGGGAUGCUUGUAAUUAUUACGAUUAAAAAGUAAGUGAAAAGUCUCACCUUUAAAGAAAAAAACUGAUACAGAUCUUUAAUCGUUUUUAAUCCAAGUAGAAUUUGACUAUAUGCUGGAAUGUUUAUACGUUGACGAAUGUGGAAUAAAGCUCGCCUUUAUCGUUACCGACCACAAAUGUUACAAAAAAACGUAAAAGGUUUUAUGAUUUCAUAAAACUUCUUAAACUAAUCAGCAGGGAAAUACCGAAAAUUGGUGUGACCUUCAAAGACUUUACGUCAAACUUUUAAGUUAUAUUUAAUUUUAAAAGAUGAUAAAGUCUAACCUGUUAAAAUUAUUAAUAGGUUGCCUAAAAGGUAACGGAGAAGCGCAAUGGUCCCCUCAACCUGGACGGAAAUCAGGCUUUGAGUGCAAAGGCAUAAGGGGGCUUGACUGCAAGACCUACAAGUCGAGCAG
rnacentral:rRNA from 1 species